UACGGAGGGUGCGAGCGUUGUCCGGAAUCACUGGGCGUAAAGGGCGCGUAGGCGGCGCGGAUAGUCGGCGGUGAAAGCCCGGAGCUCAACUCCGGGUCGGCCGUCGAUACUUCCGGGCUUGAGCACUGUAGAGGCAGAUGGAAUUCCGGGUGUAGCGGUGGAAUGCGUAGAGAUCCGGAAGAACACCGGGUGGCGAAGGCGGCUUACUGGUCCGGUUCUGACGCUGAGGCGCGAAAGCGUGGGGAGCAAACAGG
rnacentral:rRNA from 1 species